rnacentral:rRNA from 1 species
UACGAAGGGGGCUAGCGUUGCUCGGAAUUACUGGGCGUAAAGCGCACGUAGGCGGCUUUCUAAGUCGGGGGUGAAAUCCUGGAGCUCAACUCCAGAACUGCCUUCGAUACUGGAGAGCUUGAGUCCGGGAGAGGAAGGCGGAAUUCUCGGUGUAGAGGUGAAAUUCGUAGAUAUCGAGAGGAACACCGGUGGCGAAGGGCGGCCUUCUGGACAGUGACUGACGCUGAGACGCGAAAGCGUGGGGAGCAAACAGG